GGAUUAGAUACCCUGGUAGUCCACGCCCUAAACGAUGAUUACUCGAUGUUAGCGAUAUACAGUUAGCGUCAAAGCGAAAGCGUUAAGUAAUCCACCUGGGGAGUACGCCGGCAACGGUGAAACUCAAAGGAAUUGACGGGGGCCCGCACAAGCGGAGGAGCAUGUGGUUUAAUUCGAUGAUACGCGAGGAACCUUACCCGGGCUUGAAAGUUAGUGAAUGAUUCAGAAAUGAAUCAGUCCGCAAGGACACGAAACUAGGUGCUGCAUGGCUGUCGUCAGCUCGUGCCG
rnacentral:rRNA from 1 species